rnacentral:misc_RNA from 1 species
AAAACAGUGGCUCCACCCCUUAAAGAAGAAGAAAAGAACGAUAUAGAUGAGGAGGAGAAUUCUGAUGACAAUUUGUCUCUGGAGGAGAUAUCAAGUGAAGAGGGCAGUGUUAUUGGGGAAGAGGAAAAGAAACCCAGUAUAAUGGACAUAGUGGAUAUAGACUGGACAAGUCUGGUUCAGUCUUCACAACCUAAACCGGCCAGUACUGGUUCAGCUCUCCAGCGCUUCAGAGCACCUGCUAUUUUUGCCUCACUUGGUGUUUCUAAGGAGUUUGCUGGGGAGAAGCUGUUCAAAAAAAUCCAAAGUUCUUGUCAACAGGAGCUUGAGGCUCAAAGAGAAAAAGAUUCAGAGACACCAUCAAAACUAGUUGUGUAUGAACUACAAGAUUCUCUUAAGAAAGUUCAGACAGAGAGAUCAACGGCAUUUUCAUCCAAAAAAGACAUCCUAGCCAAAAUUGGCAACUUCCGAAGGGCACUGUGUGCCAGGAAAGAUAUCGAGAUCCGACGGAAACUCUGUAGAGUUGACACAAACUUGGACCAAUCCUUCAAUCCUCCGAUACCAGACCAAGAGCUGUGUAAGCUGAGUGCACAGCUACUGUCUCAGUGCAGCGACGUUUUCCCCGUGAAAAAGGAGGAGACAACUCCCCCAGCCAUUAAACCUGAAAUACAGUGUGCCUAAGGUUGGCAAGAGGUCAUGAGGGGUCCAGCGUUGUAAACCAGCUCAGACAAAUGGUUUUGUCAUGACAUUCCUGUUAUCUUAUUUGGACCUCAAUCCAUUAACCACAGGCAUAAUAUUAUUCCAUGUGCAGAGAUGCAUAUCCAUCAAAAGUGUGUGUUCAAUGAUUGUGUCUAAUUAAAAUGAUGAAAAGAAAAAAAUAUUAAAAUAUUAAUCAAAUUAGAAAGUGUUAAGUGUUGACUGAAUAGAUUUCAUUUCUUACGAGAAAUUUAAUAAAUGAUUUCGGGUCAUUUCAGUUUC